GGUAAAAAGCUCGUAGUUGGAUUUCUGUCGAGGAUGGCCGGUCCGCACUUUGUGCGUGCAUCUGGUUCAGCCUUGGCAUCCUCCUGGGGAACGUAUCUGCGCUUAAUUGCGUGGUGCGGUAUCCAGGACUUUUACUUUGAGGAAAUUAGAGUGUUCACGGCAGGCAAACGCCUUGAAUACAUUAGCAUGGAAUAAUAAUAUAGGACCUUGGUCCCAUUUUGUUGGUUUCUGGAACUGAGGUAAUGAUUAAUAGGGAUAAUUGGGGGCAUUCGUAUUAACGUGUCAGAGGUGGAAUUCUUGGAUUACGUUACGACGAACUACUGCGAAAGCAUUUGCCAAGGAUGUUUUCAUUGAUCAAGAACGAAAGUUCGGGGAUCGAAGAUGAUUAGAUACCAUCGUAGUCCGAACCAUAAACUAUGCCAACUAGAGAUGGGCGAUCGUUAUUUUAUUGACUUCGUCCGCACCUUAUGAGAAAUCAAAGUCUUUGGGUUCCGGGGGGAGUAUGGUCGCAAGGCUGAAACUUAAAGGAAUUGACGGAAGGGCACCACCAGGAGUGGAGCCUGCGGCUUAAUUUGACUCAACACGGGAAAACUCACCAGGUCCAGACAUAGUAAGGAUUGACAGAUUGAUAGCUC
rnacentral:rRNA from 1 species